rnacentral:rRNA from 1 species
UACAGAGGUCUCAAGCGUUGUCCGGAAUCAUUGGGCGUAAAGGGCGCGUAGGUGGCCCCUCAAGCGUGCGGUGAAAGUCAGGGGCUCAACCCCUGAUCGGCCGGUGCGAACUGGGGGAGCUUGAGCACUGUAGAGGCAGGCGGGAAUUCCGGGUGUAGCGGUGGAAUGCGUAGAGAUCCGGAAGAACACCGGUGGCGAAGGCGGCCGCUGGGC